GAUCCUGGCUCACAUUGAACGCUGGCGGCAGGCCUAACACAUGCAAGUCGAGCGGUAACAGAAAGUAGCUUGCUACUUUGCUGACGAGCGGCGGACGGGUGAGUAAUGCUUGGGAACAUGCCUUGAGGUGGGGGACAACAGUUGGAAACGACUGCUAAUACCGCAUAAUGGCUACGGACCAAAGGGGGCUUCGGCUCUCGCCUUUAGAUUGGCCCAAGUGGGAUUAGCUAGUUGGUGAGGUAAUGGCUCACCAAGGCGACGAUCCCUAGCUGGUUUGAGAGGAUGAUCAGCCACACUGGGACUGAGAC
rnacentral:rRNA from 1 species